rnacentral:rRNA from 1 species
AACUUUCAACAACGGAUCUCUUGGUUCUCCCAUCGAUGAAGAACGCAGCGAAAUGCGAUAAGUAGUGUGAAUUGCAGAAUUCAGUGAAUCAUCGAAUCUUUGAACGCACAUUGCGCCCCCUGGUAUUCCGGGGGGCAUGCCUGUCCGAGCGUCA